AUGAACGCUGGCGGCGUGCCUAAUACAUGCAAGUCGAGCGAACGGACGAGAAGCUUGCUUCUCUGAUGUUAGCGGCGGACGGGUGAGUAACACGUGGAUAACCUACCUAUAAGACUGGGAUAACUUCGGGAAACCGGAGCUAAUACCGGAUAAUAUUUUGAACCGCAUGGUUCAAAAGUGAAAGACGGUCUUGCUGUCACUUAUAGAUGGAUCCGCGCUGCAUUAGCUAGUUGGUAAGGUAACGGCUUACCAAGGCAACGAUGCAUAGCCGACCUGAGAGGGUGAGCGGCCACACUGGAACUGAGACACGGUCCAGACUCCUACGGGAGGCAGCAGUAGGGAAUCUUCCGCAAUGGGCGAAAGCCUGACGGAGCAACGCCGCGUGAGUGAUGAAGGUCUUCGGAUCGUAAAACUCUGUUAUUAGGGAAGAACAUAUGUGUAAGUAACUGUGCACAUCUUGACGGUACCUAAUCAGAAAGCCACGGCUAACUACGUG
rnacentral:rRNA from 1 species